AGUGCACGCUGGCGGUAGGCCUAACACAUGCAAGUCGAACGGCAGCACAGAGGAGCUUGCUCCUUGGGUGGCGAGUGGCGGACGGGUGAGGAAUACAUCGGAAUCUACUUUUUCGUGGGGGAUAACGUAGGGAAACUUACGCUAAUACCGCAUACGACCUACGGGUGAAAGCAGGGGACCUUCGGGCCUUGCGCGAUUGAAUGAGCCGAUGUCGGAUUAGCUAGUUGGCGGGGUAAAGGCCCACCAAGGCGACGAUCCGUAGCUGGUCUGAGAGGAUGAUCAGCCACACUGGAACUGAGACACGGUCCAGACUCCUACGGGAGGCAGCAGUGGGGAAUAUUGGACAAUGGGCGCAAGCCUGAUCCAGCCAUACCGCGUGGGUGAAGAAGGCCUUCGGGUUGUAAAGCCCUUUUGUUGGGAAAGAAAUCCAGCUGGCUAAUACCCGGUUGGGAUGACGGUACCCAAAGAAUAAGCACCGGCUAACUUCGUGCCAGCAGCCGCAGUAA
rnacentral:rRNA from 1 species